AGAGAACAGAUGAGGGAACGUAGGAACACUGGGGACUCUCCCCCAACUUACCAGGCCCCAGAAGUUAUUUCCCAGGCAGCGUUUUGACCAAGAUUGACAGAAAAAACUCACUAAGGGAGCCCCAAGGAAAGAACUUCGGUGAGCAAGACUUGAGGAAGAGGGCGUUAGGCCGCUGUGGUCCAGGACACGUCAGUUACAUGUGAAUCCCUUCUGGCAAUUCAGCAAUAGCCAUUGUAACUUUCAGACCACAUGGAAAUUUUCCACUUGGAAAUUCACACGUUGUUUCCUCUUGGUUUAUCAGUAGGCAGAAGGAUGUUGCCUGAGCUGCCCGGCUGCUGCUCCUUACGCAUGGAUCGUGACGAUCUGGAGAGGAGAAGCUGCCAGUCUAGAAAACUCUGCUCUUGCCUGCUAAACCAAGGAACACAUAGUGCUGACAGCUUUGAAUCGCCUUGCAGGCAUGAAAGUAGAAGUUAAGUCAGGCCUGACACUAAAAGCUGCUUUUUCCAGCAGGGAAAGCCCCUCUUGUAUAAUUACUGAAGCCAGAAGUUGUUUAAAUAGGAAAAACUUGUUUGGGUUGUUUCUUGAUUUUUGUCGGUUUGUUGCUGAGAUGGCUUUAUAUUUCUUUGGGAAACAUUUCAGUCCCCUCUUGAUAGCUGAAUUUGAAUACAUUUUUUUCAAAGCGAUGAGUUAAUGCCCCAUGUUGUUUAUAAUUAUAAGGAUCAAUGGCUGCCCUAGGCCCCCAUAAUGCCAGGGGUCCCUUUAUUGAGGAAAAGAAAACAGAAAAUCAAGCCACUUUGCCUGGAGGGCUACCACAGGCUACUGGUUUGAGAGAGGUUUUCACUCUCUAAUGAGUGUAAUAUUAAAAUUAGGUGAGUUCAGGAGGUUUUAUUUUUGAAGUAUUUGAACUAUGUAUAUGGGCAUCUGCAAAUGCCAAUCAUAUGACUUUCGAGGCCACAAUGCAUUGUUUGUGCUCACACAUAUGCUGACAGCAUUUGUUUUAUGCACCUGCUUCUUCUCCAGUCCCAGUUUCCUUCGAUCUUUUGAUUUUGUUUUAAUGUGCAGGCGUUUGCUGAAGUGUAACCACUCAGAGAGCAUCUGGGCUCGCAUGGGUUUUAAAACUGAAUCCACAUUUUAAUGGUUUCUCACCUCUCCAUCUGGAUUAGAAAAAAAAAAAAGAAUCCAUCAUAGUAACCAAUAUUAAUAGUUUUUCACAUUCCAAAGUGCUUACAUUUGCUCCUUGGUUAUAAUCCUCAAUUUGGAGUUUGGCUCCCUGCUUUGUCACAGAUUCCCACAGGCCUUACAAUAAUGGUUAACAUUUGCAUAGCACUUUUUAGAGCCUCUUUCAAUCAUUAAUUAAUUCAUUCAUAAGAUGUCUUUUCACGAUUUUCAUUUGAUGCAUUCAUAAGCAAAAUGGGCCAAGCAGAGGUUAAAUGACUGGGCCAGGGCCACCUGGGGAUUUGGUUAAGUCCUUUCAUUCAUUUUUGGGAAUUCCCAGGAAGAAAGAGACAUUUUAAUUCCAGGGAGCAGCAAAAUCUGCAACUUCAGUAUGAACUUGGACAAUCUGAGGAGCUAGUUGUUCUGGGGGGAGUGUUAGAUUUUCAAGUAGAAAUGAGAUUGCUGUGACUUCUUAGGGACAUGGUGACCUCCCUGAUCCACACAGGCUCAGGCCAAGCCUUGGAACAGAGCUGAGGUGUCCAAACUUCUCUUGGUGAGAAGCUACUUCUUGAAAUCUAAGAAGUAUUGCCCAGGAAGGAACUGGGAUGCUGAUGGUACAGAAGAAGACAGGACAAAAAAGGCUUUGGGGAGUUCCCAUCCUGGCACAGUGGUUAACGAAUCCGACUACAAACCAUGAGGUUGAGGGCUCGAUCCCUGCCCUUGCUCAGUGGGUUAAGGAUCCAGCAUUGCCGUGAGCUGGGGUGUAGGUUGCAGAUACGGCUCGGAUCUGCGUUGCUGUGGCUCUGGUAUAGGCCAGUGGCUACAGCUCCGAUUAGACCCUUAACCUGGGAACCUCCAUAUGCCGCAGGAGCGGCCCAAGAAAUGGCAAGAAGACAAUAAAUAAAUAAAUAAAUAAACAAUCCAAUUGAAAAAUGGGCAAAAGACAUGAAUAGACAUUUCUCCAAAGAAGACAUACAGACAGCCAACAGGUGCAUUAAAGAAAAAAAAAAAAAAAAAGGCUUUGGGUCUUGGUCUUCUCCCCAGGAGACCUUUCCAAAGAAGUGGGUGGCAGCUGACGUGCAGAGCAAGAAGUAAAGGUUUAAAAUUGAUCAUAUGCAUUUUACCUCUUCAAGAGCCCAAUGGGGGAAGAUAGGGAUGAAGAAACACAGGCUAGGAAGGCUCUCUGAACGUCUCACCAAAUGCAUAGGAAAAUCAUGCUUUCCCUCUCCUUCACGCUUGGGACCUGCCUCUGGUACACCACAGGGCUUCAGUGAGGAGCUGCUUAAUUGGCUGUUACCCUGAGCUCAGAAUACAUCUGAGCUGGGAAGAAAAGUUACUGCUCUGGAAGACGAACAAAGAAAAGAUGGAAAAGAGAGGUCUGGGGUGAGGAGGUGUGUCUACGCCGGGGAAGUGAAUUGGAGAGGAGAAGCAAGCUCCUAGACAGUAAUAACCACUUCUGAGAUAGUCACUAGGUGGCCUUUAUCCAAGUGUCCUGAAAAUACUAAUUGGGACUUUGUCUUGGUUUCCUGGAGCCUGCUCUAACAAAUGACCACCAACAUGUGGCUGAAAACAACAGACAUUUAUUCUUUUCUGGUGCAGGAGACAAGCAAUGCCAAAUCAAGGUGUAGACAGGCGGGGAGGGAAGAUGGGUUCCCAGGCUCUCUAUGGGCAUCUGGUGGCUGCUGGCAGCCUCUGUGGCUUGCUGAUGCCUCAGUCAGCUCGGCCUCCAUCUUCUCCUGCUGGCUUCCCUGUGUGUCCGUGCCUGUGCGUCUCAAUCUCCUGUUCUUUCUCUCAUAAGUACUCUAGUCAUUAGAUUUAGGGCCCACCCUAAGUCCAGGAUGAACUUAUCUCUCCUUCAUCACAUCUUGCAAAGAUUCUAUUUCCAAGUAAGUUUUCUUUCGCAGGCAUAGGGGCUUAGGACUUGGUUGUGACUUUUGGGGAAACACCAUUCAACUCACUAAGGAAGUCAUUCUUCAAAUGUUGCAUCCAACCUCUAGACACACCUGGGUCUCUCCAGUGAAUCCGGGAAGACUGACAAUGAGAUUUUUCUGGGGGUGGAGUUGACAAAUGCUUCCUUCUGCUUUUCUCCUUCAUGGUCCUAUCCAGCUAGCUCUACCAUCCACUAGUUGGAGGAAUUGCUUGGAAGCCCCCAAGAAUCCUCGCUGCACACGGUAUGCACAAGGGAAGGAGCUACCAUUUCAUUCUGUGCACAACAGCAGGCAGACACCUGCUCUUCCUCUUGGCUCUGCCUCAGACCUUAGCUGGUCCAUCGGGGGGAUGGGGGGGAAGAUCUCCAAUUCCUGGAUAUCUGGGCCUUGUGGGUAGAAGGGCAUUCUUUCUUUGGCCAUGGUAAUGCAUAGGACACCAAUCUGGGAUCCCUGGAAAUGUCUUUUUACUCUCUUGAUCCUCUUGUUUCUUCUCCACAUCUCCUCAAUCUGCUCUUUAGGGAUUUGCACACUCCUCCCAGCUAGUUAGUAACUAUAUGCCUCAUCCUGAGAUUUUCCUUCUCUCAUGCCUUCCAUCGAAUCAGUCCCUGGGUGGUAUUGAUUCCCCAACUUUCUAUUUCCUAAGACAUCCCCUCCUUUGCAUCAGCCAUCUCUCUCAGGCCCCCAUCACUGUCUUGUGAACUGUUGGCAUCAGCUGUUUGCAUGGUUGGUCUGCUUCCAGCCAAUCCUUCCUUCCAGUGCACCUGCUACUCUACUGCAAUACUAAUGCUUCUGCCAGUGGCUUCCUUGGCCAGAUUAAUCCCUCAGCUCUUUAACAGGCCACAGAAUCUUUAUGACAAACCCAGUUGGAGUGCUGAAUCUGCUGUCUGUGAAGCAGACAUGCCUUCUUCUAAAAGGACCUCUGGGUGCCCCAAUUCUGAGGUGGGUGUUCUAGUACACAGCAGACAACACCUCCACACAGCCCAGCACUUAGCAAAACUAUACAUCCUCCUGCUGCUAAAUAAUCAGCAAUACCCAAGAAACUUCACUUUUUAAAUAUAGGGCAUGGAUAUUUUGUGAUCUGUUUGGCUUUAAAAAAAACUUACCUUCUUCCUUUUCCUCCUGAAAUCACUCUCCCAGAGCCUACUGUGUAUGCUGGAUUGUGUUUCUUGCUUGGCCGUAGAGAUCUUUUCCACCUAGUGGUCAAUCAUUGGUCCCUUGACCUUUGCUUAUUGAAAAAUUUACCGCUAAAGCCUUAUAUUUCUCCCAUUUCCCACAAGAGGUGUCCUACCACUUCAGAAUUGUUUGGAAGGAG
rnacentral:lncRNA from 1 species